UGUUUGCUUGUGGGCUCUUUGUAUUAUUUGUAUGAAGGGAGGGUUAUUCUGCAUUUCUGUGUAUAUCUAGCAGUGUGGGUGGCUUCCCUGGGUUCCAGUGGGGACCAGGCUGGUCAGGUGCAGGUCAAGGACAGGAGCUGCAACAGCAGCUGUGGGCUGCUCUACUCCAAUGUGGAUUCCCAUUCACAAGUGCUGGAAGGAAGUGAUCUGAGAUCACUUCCUCUAUGUGCUGCAAUGCAUACAUUGAGAAUUGUCCUUCACCACCUUUUCAUAUUAGCAGAUAUCUGAAGUUUCACUGGGACUCCAGAUAGGCCAGAGCCUGUUUGGCUCAACAGCCUCGAGUGCCGUGCAUGGCACACGUGCCUCAGGUUGCCUACCCCUGCU